CACUGACUGGUCUCAGCUUCCUGGUGAGGAGGUAUGCUUCAUCGCCACUUAGUCACCGUGGUUACUUUGAAAAAAUUAGAGUGUUCAAAGCGGGCUUACGCUUGAAUAUAUUAGCAUGGAAUAACACCAUAGGACUCCUGUCCUAUUUCGUUGGUCUCGGGACGGGAGUAAUGAUUAAGAGGAACAGUUGGGGGCAUUCGUAUUUCAUUGUCAGAGGUGAAAUUCUUGGAUUUAUGAAAGACGAACUUCUGCGAAAGCAUUUGCCAAGGAUGUUUUCAUUGAUCAAGAACGAAAGUUGGGGGCUCGAAGAUGAUUAGAUACCAUCCUAGUCUCAACCAUAAACGAUGCCGACUAGGGAUUGGCGGAUGUUAAUUGAUGACUUCGCCAGCACCUUAUGAGGAAUCAAAGUUUUUGGGUUCCGGGGGGAGUAUGGUCGCAAGGCUGAAACUUAAAGGAAUUGACGGAAGGGCACCACCAGGCGUGGAGCC
rnacentral:rRNA from 1 species